rnacentral:lncRNA from 10 species
UGGUAGUGUAAAACUACCUUUUUCCCCAUGAUCCUUUCUUAUACAGUAGCUUUUACCUUGCUCAUCUUUCUCCUGUCAACCACCAUUCAAUGUUAUUUUGACUUGUGAAGAAGUCAAGAAAGAAAAAAGCAAAGCUGAAGAAAGUGGAGUAAGGAAAUUCUGUUAGGAGGUGGCAGACUGGAGGUGUUACUCGAGUUGCUGUGGAAACUGUUCAUCAGAAGCUAGUGUUGAAGACCCGGGCAACAGGGUGGAAAUGGAUGAGCAGUGGUGGUGCUCAGAUCUGGUUACCAAUUUGGAAGAGCAGCUGGAAAAGGAGUCUCUUUGAGGUACAACAUAUCCCCAGGGAUUGUAGAGAUACUCUCUCAACCUGUCACUGAUCUUCAGCACGUAAGUGUUCUCUUUGGCAUUGGUGAAGAGAACAAGUAAAAGUAACUGCAAAUAGCGAAGAGAGGCCCAGCUUAGAGGAAAUGGCUCCAACUCCCUUUUUGAUGUAAAGGUCUUAGGAAUUACUUUACUACACAGAAGUUUUCAAGAACACAGGAGGGCUAUUCAUAAGCGCUCUGAAACAUGAGACAUACAUAUGCAAGAUAUGUCAAGGACAGGGCUGUGCUCUGUGCUCAGCACCAUCUGGAGGCAUUAGCAGGAGUGAAUCCACUUGUCUUUUUUGUCCUUUUGUGAAUUUAUUUUCCAUACUUAUGUAUCCUGUUCCGGGCUGUUCAUGCACAACAAAUUUGACUUUUACAAAAUCUAAGGCCAUCGGAUUUUUAUAAAAGUCAAAUUUUGGUCCCUCUCCACACUUACCCCAAAGAAAAAACAUUAAACUUUGAUCUAAUGACAGAAACAUUCUCUGCACACAUGAUUGGUUUGAUCACUAUAAUGGUCAAGAAAAUGGUUUAGCUUAUUUUAACAUACUCACUCUUUACAAAGCUCUAAUUAGUGGAUAAAUGUGUGUGUGUGUAUAUAUGUGUGUGUGUAUG